rnacentral:tRNA from 2 species
GCCGCCGUAGUCUAGCGGUUAGGAUGGCGGGUUGUGGUCCCGUUGACCCGGGUUCAGGCAAAGCCGCCCAAAAAUCCCGGCGGCGGCCCCA